GGAGGCGGGACUAGCCCGAUUCCCGCCGCUUGGCCCCGCCAUUGGCGGGCUGUUUGAAUGACGGAAGUGACGGGAGCUUGGCGAUGGCUGCCCCGCAGGCGCACAAACGGCUGUUGGGAAGCUGGUGGGUCGCGGGCGCCCGGGAGGUCUCCGUCUGAGCUGCGGUUCCUGAUUCCGGGCCCCCGGUUUUCAGAAACUUUAAAGUACCUGGAAAUGAAAAGAAAGGUAGGGAAUGCUGGCAAGCUGAGAUUGAGUCCUAAUGAGGAAGCUCACAUUUUAAAGGAAGAUUAUGAAAGACGACGAAAACUAAGAUUGCUACAGGUUCGAGAACAAGAAAGGGGUAUCGCUUUACAGAUAAGAGAAGACAUAAAACAGAGGAGAAAUCAGCAAUUAACUCGUUUGGCAGAGGAACUAAGGACAGAAUGGAAAGAAUCACAAACUCAGAAAAUAAAGAACUUGGAAAAGCUGUAUUUGGCAAGUUUAAGAAGUAUGGGAGAGGGACACCAACAUGCCAAAGAAAAUGAACCUGAUUUGAAUGCUCUGGCACGGCGGGCAGCAGAAAGAAGAAGGAAAGCAGAAAUGAGGCAUAAAGAAGCUCUGAAAUUACAAAAGAAUAAAAAAGAAGAACUAGUGAAACAAAAAACCUGGCAUAUAACAGCUCGAAAGGAAGCACUGCUUGUGGAAAAAGAGAGAUCGGCCAAAAUUACAAGUCUGCCACCACCACCCCCAGCUCUUUUUGAGAACAUUGAACUAAAGAGAACUUCUAAUGUGAAAACUGGUAGAUCCACCUAUCAUCAUCUUUGCACUUUUGUGAGCAGAGAGAUGGACACAGAGCAGCCAGAUCCUCAUUUGGCUGCUGAAGAAGAAGCUAAAAAAUUGGAAGAACGACAAAAACAGGCAGCACAGGAGAGAAUGGAACAGUAUCAAAAGGCUCAUGUGCGGGGAUUUCAAGCAAUGAAAAAGAUCCAUUUGGCUCAAACUCAGGAGAAACUAAUGAAAGAACUCAAACAACUCCAACAAGAGGACCUGGCACGUAGGAGACAGACUGUGGCACAGAUGCCACCACAACUCAUUGAGCUUCCAUACAAACGCAGUGAAAUGAAAGAAGACUGGCAGAGAGAGCUGGAAUUUGCCUUUGAAGACAUGUACAAUGCAGACAGGAAAGUGAAAGGAAACCUGAUUUUGCACCUCGAACCGGAACCUUUGCCCACUGUGACUGAUCAGAUCCAAGAUGAAGAACUGGACCUUUCAAUGGAACAAGAAAGUUUAGGAGAAACUGAAAAUAGUCCAGUUACAGAAGCCGAAACAAUAUGUUCCAGCGAAGCAGAAGUUCCUUUGGCAAUAAAGACCCACCAGGUCCCUUCAAAAAUUCUUUUUAAGAAAUUAUUAAAUAAGAUCCGAAGCCAAAAAUCUCUCUGGACGAUUAAAUCCAUGUCUGAGGAUGAAAGUGAAGUGAUUACAGCUCUUAGUGAAACUGAGAGUAAAGCACCAACAGUCGAAUCAGGAGGAACUGUUGGCGAGGAGAGGACAUCAUCCUCUGGGCAGGAACAAGUUGCUGAAAGUGAUACUUUAACAAUUGACUCUGGACCACUUACUAGUGAAGGGAAACCACUUUCAUUGGAUACAGACUCUGAAAAGGAACAAGAAAUGAAGGAGGCUCAGCCUAUCACAGCUGUAGCUCAGAGUUCAAUUCUACUUCAUCCUCAAGAAGAAGCAUCCAGAAUUAGAAUGGCAGCAAGGCAGAAACAGAUAAUGGAAAUAGAAGAGCAAAAGCAAAAGCAGUUGGAAUUACUUGAACAAAUUGAACGACAGAAGUUACGAUUAGAAACUGAUUGCUUCAGGGCUCAGCUGGAAGAAGAAAAGAGGAAAAGAACGCAACAGAUUGGGGUUGGCACUGCUCCAGCGCCAUGCACUGUAACUUAUGAUGAAGAUAAUCAUAGGCAGAUGAUUCAUAACUAUCAACAUCAGCUUUUACAGCAGAACAGGUUUCACAGACAGUCUGUUGAAACAGCCAGGAAACGAUUACUUGAAUAUCAGACUAUGUUAAAAGGAAAGUACUCAUCUGGGUUAGCCACUUCACUGACAUCUGAUUCUGUUAAAUCAGUACUACCACAGAAUACUGAAAGACCCACUGUCAUAUCAGAGCAUUGGGAUCAAGGUCAGAGACCCAAGCUGAGUCCUAACAAAUACCUGCCUGUGCCAUCCAUACAGAGCUCCAGAUCAGAAGAAGAUCCUUUUCAGAUUCCAAGACAAAGUCUCUUUCCACAAAGACAGGUAGAAACAGACAUGGUAAUCAAUUCAGAUGUUUUAGCCAAGCAGUCUUUGGAAUCAAAGGAACAGCCUAAGCAACUCUCACAGAGUGAAGUACAACAGAGAGGCUAUAAAUUGGUUCAUAAAGAUUCUCAUACACUUCCAAAGCCUUUGUCACAUGAUAGGCUGCUAGUAAUACAGGAUCCUAAAGAAAUAGCUGAAAUAUCUCGGGCAACAAUUUCUCAAACUUUAGAUCCCCAGCAGAGGUUCUCAGAGAACAAGGAAAGUAUACCCUCCAAGCUAACUGAACGUUCUUCAUUCCAACCAGCGGCAGCUGAGCAUGCUUUUAGUUCUCUGCCUGCUACAGUUGAAUCUGGAAAAAUCCAGGAAUCCUUUGUAGCCAUGAACAAAAGUACAGUUUCUGUAAGCCCUUCUGUAAUCAGCCACAUGCAGGGUAAGUCUUUGCCAACCUCAGAAAAUAUCACAGCCCACCUGGGUAAUUUGAAGGCUCUCCAAGAACAGUUAGACCUACAGAAGGAGGUUCUUCGGUCAAGACAGGAAGCUCAGGAACGAUUGCUUUUGUACAAACAGAAAGAAUUGGAAGGACAAACUGGCCUCUCUGUCUCCCUUCCAUUAGUAUCUCCGGAUUCAUUUGCUACACUGCCUUCUGCCAGAGCUGAAUCGGGGAGAAUCCAGGAAUCUUCUCCAACCAGGGAUGAUACUGCAGUUCCCUUAGGCCAUCUUGGGGUCCCACAACUUCCAGAUAGGCUUUGGAGUUUUUCACAACCUGUCUUAUCACAGCCAGAUAAUUUUAACUUUCUCCAAGAACAGUUUCAUAUUCAGAGGGACAGCCUUCAGGCUAGGCGAGAAGCCCAAGAAGUGUCAUGUGUACAUAAACAGAGUGAAUUGGAUGGAAGAAUAUGGUCUGAACAGACUGCACCCCCUUCUCUCCCUUCGCAGGUAGCUCAGCAUACAUUUACUUCACUGCCUUCUGCUGGCACUGGAAAGAUCCAGCCACAGUAUUCAUCUGAGAGCGUGAAGGGUUUUCUCUCAAGCCAGUCUGAAAACCAGAAAUCUCGGGAUGGGUCUUUGAGUUUCCUACAGGAGUUCUUCCCUUUGCAUGAUAGUUUGCAGUUGCUCCGAGAACAGGUGACUAUACAGAGCGAUGCCCUUCAGGCCAGGCAGGAAGCCCAGGCAGAAUUGCUUCUGCAUAGACAGAGGGAUUUGGGUGAGUCUGGGCAAAUGGGUUCUUCACUUCCACCAGCAGCUGCUCCAUGUUUAGUUGCUUCACAAGCUUCUGCUAAAACUGAGCCUAGGAGAAUUCAGAACUUUGAUUUAUCUGAAAAGGAGAAUGUUAUUCCCUCCAGUCAUCCGGUAAUCCCAGCAUUUCAGGAUGGCCCUCGUAGUUUUCCACAGCAUAACCUGCCACGGCAAGAAAAUUUGACAGCACUCCAAGAACAGUCGCAUACACACAGGGUAAUGCUUGGCGCUGAACAAGAAACUCGGGAAUUUGUACACAAACCACAUGAAUUAGAGAAAACGGUUUCUUCUGAACAGACUGGCACCUCUUUAUCCCUGUCCCAGGUAGCUGAGUCUGAAAGAUGCCAGGAGUUUAUGCCAGGCAAGAGUGACGGUGUAGUUGCCUUAAGCUCUUCUACGAUCCCGAGGUUUCAGGAAAGACGUCUGGGAUUUUUACAACCUACAUUACCUCUGCAAGAUAACUUGGAGGAACACCAAGAAUGGCUGGACACAGAGAAGGCGGCCCUUCAUUUCAGCCAGAAAAGCCAAGGAAAGGUAUCUUUGGAACAAACUGACUCCUCAUUCAAGCCCCAGGUAGGGCAGCCUUCAUUUACUUCGUUACCUUCUGCUGAGUCUGGUACAACCCAGGAGCGUCCUUCAACAGAGAGUGACAGCAAAAGUCUUUCAAGCCCUCUUCAGAUCCCACAGUUGCAGGAUAGGCUUUGGAGGAUAUCCCAGCUUAUUCGGCCUCAGCAAGAUAAUUUGAAGGCGCUCGGGGAAAGGUUAGCUACACAGAGAGAAGCUAUCAUUCAGUCUAGACAGGAAGCUCAGGAAGAAUUACUUCUGCACAAACAGAGUGAGUGGAAGCAAGGAAGAUCUCCUGAGCAUGUUGGCUCCUCUUUCUUCUCACCCCCUCUUGUACAGCAUUCUCUUGCUUCAUUACCUCUUAGUGAAUCUGGGAGAACCCAAGAACCUUGUUCAACUACGAGUGAUAAUACAGCUUCAAGACAUUCUGAGAAACCGGGAUUGCCUGAUAGGCUUUUCGGUUUAUCACAGCCUGUUUUACCUAAACAAGAUCACUUGAUUGCACUUCAGCAAGAACACUUGCAUGCACGAAGCAGUUCUCUUCCAUGUGGCAAGAAAACCCAGAAACACUUGGUUUUGCCCAGACAAUAUGAAUUUGAGGAGAAGUUACCUUCUGAGCAUUUUGUCCAGCUUCCCCAUGGUGAUUUGAAAGUACUUCAGGAGCAGUUAGAAAUACAAAGAAGAGCCAUUCGAUCUAGACAGGAAGUCCAAGAAGAAUUACUUUUGCAAAGACUAAGUAAAUUGGAGAAAAGGGUGUCCUCUGAGCAGAUUAGCUCUUCAUCGGUAUCCCAGGUAGCACCGCCUGUUGCUGACUCUGAAAGAAUCCAAAAGCCUCUUGCAACCAGAAGUGACCGUACUGUUGCCUCAAGUCACUCUGAGAUCUCAGCAUCCCAGGAUAGACUUCCGAGUCCAUCACUGCCUGUUCUGCCUUCGCAGGGUAUUUUGGCAGCACGGUUGGACUUCGAGAGGGAAGUGGUGCAUUCUAAUGAGAAGGGCCAGGAGGAACUGUUAAACAACCAAACAAAAUCGACUGCAAGUGAAUCUUCCGAGCAUCCUAUUCCCUCUUUGUUUUUACCCACAGAAAAAAAGCAUCCAUUUAUUCCACUCCCUUUUGCUGAAGUUAAAUCUAAAAACCAUGGUGAAUUGUAUUCAUCUAAGAAUGAACAGGCAGCUCCCUCAAGCAAUUCCAUGACCCCCAGACUUCAAGAUAGACUUUUGUGUUUUUCACAACCUGUCUUAACUCUGCAAGAUAACCUAGGACUUCAGAAGCAGCUGGAUCUACAAAAGAAAGUUCUGCAUUAUAGCCAAAAAGCCCAAGAAGAAUUGCUUGUACAGAGACAGACAACACUGCAGCAGCAGGUACAGAAACAUCAAGAGACUUUGAGAGAUUUCUUUAAACAUAGUCAGAUAAGUAAGCCCACAGCUGAAGGUGAUACAGAAGCUCAGAAGCUCAGAGAGUGGCUUCCUGUUCUCCAAGACCUAGCAAGGGCCGAUCAGGAAGGCAUCAGUUCUGCGAAUAGGAGCAACUCUGGUGAUAAUCAGCUGCUUUCAGAAGAGAGUGGUGCCAAGCAAAGUGGUGAGCAUCUGGACAAAGAACUGGGCAGGAGAUCCUCAAAGCCACCUGUAGCAAAAGUGAAAUGUGGAUUGGACUUGAACCAGCAUGAACUCAGUGCUAUACCAGAGGUAGAGUCACCAGCAAGUGGCAGAACAUCUUUACUAGGUAAACCAGAUUUUUAUCAAGACAGGGACCCCCUAAGGGUCUCAAUAAGCCGAGAACAAAGUUUCUUUGGGAGCCAACUGAACUGUGAUGCAUUUGGUUGUCUUUACCCCAUUGCCCAGGAAUACGUUUGUAAUGAUGACUCCAAGGAGGCAGUCAAGGUCAAGGAGGCUAUGGCUGAGAAUCAUGCCGUGGAGGAAGAACAGACAUAUCUGAGUCCAACUAUGAAGCCGGAUAAUGCUGAAACAGAAGAGAUUUAUCAUGAGCCAUUAUCAUCAGUAACUGUUUCUACUGGGAGCUUUUUAAGUUAUGAAAACACAGAUCUGAGCCUUACAGAUCCAGGGUCAUUUUCAGAGCUGGACCCAAGGGAACAAGAAUCUACCACUGGUAAAGAAGAGGAAAGAGAUAUUUUAAGUUCUGUACUUCCCUCAUCACAAGUUCAUUAUCAAAGGCAGGACUCUCGGGAAGUUCAUCAACCUCUGUUGCCUGCAGUGGAAAAGUUUACAGCUGUUGACCUUGACUUUCCGGAAUUGGAGCACACUUUUCCAAAUUUGCAUCGUCAGCUAUUUAAACCCUUAGAACCACAUCCAGAUUUUGAUAUAUCAUCAUAUUCUGGGAUUUCUCAAGACAGCAGAGACUUUUUCCAGAACUCAGAUUCUUCAUGUGAAAGCCACCACACUAAUGCCGCACCCAGAAGCACAGUUUCCUUUACAGCACUGAAAACCAGCCUGAAUUCUUCUAACACGAGCCCAAACCAGCAGCUGGACCCUCCUUUGGCUCAUGCCGCUGCUCAGAUAUUUGCCACAGAAAAGACUGAAGGAUCUGAACAAUCUUUUCAACAGCUUCUGCCGGAAUUUUCUUCACAGGAGGGGAGCCAACAUAUUGAUCUACCAAGUAUUUUUAGCAUUGAAGCAAGAGAUUCUUCCCAAGGCAUGGAAAAUCAGAACUAUUCUGAACAGAUUGAAAUGCAAAAUAAGAAAAAAAGUGUUCAUUUCCACCUCUGUGUAGGAAAUUUACAGAGUUCAGUCUUCAGUUCCUCUGAUGAGGCUAAUGUAUUUCAUCCCUUAAGUCUACAGUAUAGCACACCGUGUGGGUCUACCUCUAGUGAGUGCUCAACAAAAGCCCAACCCGAAGGCAGAAAAGAAAGACUGGGCUUUGAAGAACUAUCAGAAAGAGGACUUGAUGGAGAUAAAAAUGAAAGCCUUGGGGUUUUAAAUAUAAAUUCACAUGCGGAGGAAAUGGAUUCCCAAUCCUGUGUCAGAACAGUGGAAAGGGGAACUUCAGUUGAGGCACCAUAUUCUAAUGAGAAUGAAAAGUAUUUUAAGAAUUCCACUAAGACAGAAACUCCAAAAAUCCCAGGAAACCUUUCUCACCUAGCAGAGUCAGAGCUCUUUUUAAGUUCUGGAUCAUUACAGAGCUCUAUUCCAGUGUGGGAGACAGAGUCUGGCCAUGGUAUAAUUGAAGAACCAGAGCUUACAUUAGUAAGCACCAGUGAUAGCAGUAUUGCUGAAAUGGAUCUUGCAAAUCUAACACUAGAAGAAAAGAAAGGAAAUGAGGCAAAAAGCAGUUCUCAGGUGAGUGAAUUUCUACCUUUUGUAUCAGUAACAGAAACCUCGGAUUAUCCAGAUGUAUCUGAACACGGCACGGAGGAGCGCAUGAUUGUGUCUGCAGAAACCCCUCCAAAGAUUAUAGCUCUACCUGGGAGCUUACAAGAAGCAUUUAUAAAGAGGAAAAAAUCAUUUAUAGAAAGAUCCUCCCAGAGACAGAAAGAAAUAAAGAAUAAAAUUCGUAUUCCUGAAAAUUCUCAAAUCAAAAUAGCUAAGGAGAAACCUACAGACUCAUCUGUGAAUCGCCUGAAGGGUGUGCAUAAAGUUAAGGUUAGAGUGUCACUUCCUGAAGACAGAAAGACUGCACAAGCCCUCAUGCAUCAAAGGACCCUAAGAUCUGCGUAUACAUUUCUUACAGAUCAUACAAUCAAUUAGCUGAAGUCAAACAGCAAAGGGAAGAGAAAGCAAAGCAAGAUGCAUACGCCCAAAACAGAGCAAGGGCUAAAGAAUUUCAUAAGCAAACACUGGAGAAACUUAGAGCCAAAAAUACAUGCUGACUUUCUACUAAAAGUGUAAAGUUUUUUUUAAAUUAUGUGUAACAUAAGCAAAAUUAUUUAAAGCCAAUAAAUUUUUAUUUAAGGAG